AUUGAACGCUGGCGGCAGGCUUAACACAUGCAAGUCGAGCGGUAGCACAGGGGAGCUUGCUCCCUGGGUGACGAGCGGCGGACGGGUGAGUAAUGUCUGGGAAACUGCCUGAUGGAGGGGGAUAACUACUGGAAACGGUAGCUAAUACCGCAUAACGUCGCAAGACCAAAGAGGGGGACCUUCGGGCCUCUUGCCAUCAGAUGUGCCCAGAUGGGAUUAGCUAGUAGGUGGGGUAAUGGCUCACCUAGGCGACGAUCCCUAGCUGGUCUGAGAGGAUGACCAGCCACACUGGAACUGAGACACGGUCCAGACUCCUACGGGAGGCAGCAGUGGGGAAUAUUGCACAAUGGGCGCAAGCCUGAUGCAGCCAUGCCGCGUGUGUGAAGAAGGCCUUCGGGUUGUAAAGCACUUUCAGCGAGGAGGAAGGUGGUGAACUUAAUACGUUCAUCAAUUGACGUUACUCGCAGAAAAAGCACCGGCUAACUCCGUGCCCAGCAGCCGCCGUAAUACCGAGGGUGCCAGCGUUAAUCCGAAUUUCUGGGCGUAGCGCACGCAGGCGGUUUGUUAGUCAGAUGUGAAAUCCCCGGGCUCAACCUGGGAACUGCAUUUGAAACUGGCAAGCUAGAGUCUCGUAGAGGGGGGUAGAAUUCCAGGUGUAGCGGUGAAAUGCGUAGAGAUCUGGAGGAAUACCGGUGGCGAAGGCGGCCCCCUGGACGAAGACUGACGCUCAGGUGCGAAAGCGUGGGGAGCAAACAGGAUUAGAUACCCUGGUAGUCCACGCUGUAAACGAUGUCGAUUUGGAGGUUGUGCCCUUGAGGCGUGGCUUCCGGAGCUAACGCGUUAAAUCGACCGCCUGGGGAGUACGGCCGCAAGGUUAAAACUCAAAUGAAUUGACGGGGGCCCGCACAAGCGGUGGAGCAUGUGGUUUAAUUCGAUGCAACGCGAAGACCCUUACCUACUCUUGACAUCCAGAGAACUUAGCAGAGAUGCUUUGGUGCCUUCGGGAACUCUGAGACAGGUGCUGCAUGGCUGUCGUCAGCUCGUGUUGUGAAAUGUUGGGUUAAGUCCCGCAACGAGCGCAACCCUUAUCCUUUGUUGCCAGCGGUUCGGCCGGGAACUCAAAGGAGACUGCCAGUGAUAAACUGGAGGAAGGUGGGGAUGACGUCAAGUCAUCAUGGCCCUUACGAGUAGGGCUACACACGUGCUACAAUGGCAUAUACAAAGAGAAGCGACCUCGCGAGAGCAAGCGGACCUCAUAAAGUAUGUCGUAGUCCGGAUUGGAGUCUGCAACUCGACUCCAUGAAGUCGGAAUCGCUAGUAAUCGUAGAUCAGAAUGCUACGGUGAAUACGUUCCCGGGCCU
rnacentral:rRNA from 1 species